UUUGGGAGGGGGGUAAUUUAUAUCUUGAAGAUGUUUGGCUAAAAUUAGUAGUCGAUGUUAGAUGUUUAAUUUAUUCAUCAUGAAAUUAGUGGUUCUCUUUCUGUGUUUGGUUGUGUCACACGUUUACAGUGGACCUAUUAAUUGUAACAAAACUGAUGACAACAUGACGGUCAUAUCACCAGAAGUUCCUCCUGGCUCAAUACCUGAAACAACUUUGAGCCAGAACGAUACGUCACAAAAUAAGUUAAAUGGAACUAAAUUUGGAAAAACUUCACUUUUAGAUGUAAAAGAAAACGGUUGUGGAGGAAACCAACUGAGAGAUUUUAAUGGAGAUUGCCGCCCUAUAGAAAAUUAAUAUAUAAAAAUUGUUAUUAAACUAAUUGGAAUUAAUUCUAUUAGAAUAAGCAUCCAGUGAGUUUUCAAUUUGUAUUAAAUUUUUAAUAAAAAUAAAGUUCAUAAAAUCUUG
rnacentral:lncRNA from 1 species